CAGCUCUCUCAUUCGCCUGACCGACAUCGUGAUUGGUUCACACUUCAAAACCUUCUGUUGCCUGAUCUAUUACAUUUUCAGAUGACAACAACACUACGAAUAAAAGGAGUGACGCCUACAGUUAGCCAUAGCAUCUGAUGCUUUUGUUAAAUGCAGCUCAGACUGAUGAUAUGGUUAACUAGAUGUAAUAUAUAACUACUACUUUUGAUUUGAUGCCCACUGCGGUUCUAGGACACCCAUAGCAAGAAACGACCCUCUUUUUGCAUGUAUACAUGUCAGUAUCUCAUACUACCAAAACAAACACUUGAUGAAGACAUAGAUGUGUAGCCUUGCAAUGUCAUACUUUAAAUCUACAAAUAUCCCCUCCCUAUGUAAAUGUACCAAAUUUAUUGGCACAUCAUAUUUGCCGCU
rnacentral:lncRNA from 1 species